GGAUGGGUGGCCGAGCGGUUUAAGGCACCGGUCUUGAAAACCGACGUGGGUUAAAAGCCCACCGUGAGUUCGAAUCUCACCCCAUCCGCCA
rnacentral:tRNA from 1 species